CGGAGGGGGCAAGCGUUACUCGGAAUUAUUGGGCGUAAAGGGCGCGUAGGCGGUCGUGUGCGUCGGAGGUGAAAUCCCCGGGCUUAACCCGGGAACUGCCUCCGAUACGGCAUGGCUUGAGUCCGGGAGAGGGGAGCAGAAUUCCCAGUGUAGCGGUGAAAUGCGUAGAUAUUGGGAGGAAUACCGGUGGCGAAGGCGGCUCCCUGGACCGGUACUGACGCUGAGGCGCGAAAGCGUGGGUAGCAAACAGGAUUAGAUACCCUGGUAGUCCACGCCGUAAACGAUGGGUGCUUGGUGUCGGGGGUAUCGACCCCUCCGGUGCCGAAGCUAACGCAUUAAGCACCCCGCCUGGGGAGUACGGUCGCAAGGCUG
rnacentral:rRNA from 1 species